rnacentral:rRNA from 1 species
UACAGAGGGUGCGAGCGUUGUCCGGAAUCACUGGGCGUAAAGGGCGCGUAGGCGGCUUGAUAAGCGUGCGGUGAAAGCCCGGGGCUCAACCCCGGGUCGGCCGUGCGAACUGUCGAGCUGGAGCACUGUAGAGGCAGGUGGAAUUCCGGGUGUAGCGGUGGAAUGCGUAGAGAUCCGGAAGAACACCGGUGGCGAAGGCGGCCUGCGCUGGGCAGUGGCUGACGCUGUAGAGCGAAAGCGUGGGGAGCGAACAGG